UAACGUAGCGAAAAGCUACGCUAUACCGCAUACGAUCUAUGGAUGAAAGCGGGGGAUCGCAAGACCUCGCGCGAUUGGAGCGGCCGAUAUCAGAUUAGGUAGUUGGUGAGGUAAAGGCUCACCAAGCCGACGAUCUGUAGCUGGUCUGAGAGGACGACCAGCCACACUGGGACUGAGACACGGCCCCAGACUCCUACGGGAGGCAGCAGUGGGGAAUUUUGGACAAUGGGCGCAAGCCUGAUCCAGCAAUGCCGCGUGCAGGAUGAAGGCCUUCGGGUUGUAAACUGCUUUUGUACGGAACGAAACGGUGAGCUCUAAUACAGUUUGCUAAUGACGGUACCGUAAGAAUAAGCACCGGCUAACUACGUG
rnacentral:rRNA from 1 species